CAAACUUAGGUGUUGAUGUUAUACUAUUGUGAACAUGUAGUAAGAAAUCAAAACAAGAUUUAGUAAAUGUUUAUUUUGACAGAAAUGGAUUUAUAAAAUAUAUAAUAAUGUAUCCAUUUUAAUUCCUUUUUAGGUUCUUUCUGUGACAUGUUUUUCAUGGUGUUGGGAAUUAGACUUUGGGGUCUAAUACAUCUAAAAGGAAGGUUAACAUCACAGCUUGUCCGUAAGGAUUGAGGUUGGGAAUGGCCAUUGGAGCUGACUUUUAUGGUUACUUUAACUGUGGCUGCAUGAAAAUGAUUGGGUGACUGUACCAGUAAAGAAUGUAAUUCAGACAAUUUUUGUGUGUGUUUGAGAAAAUGUUUAUAAUUUUUUACAAAAAAAAAAAUAGUGUAAAGAUUCUCCAUUUUCAACAAGAUUGUAAGUUAUAGAUAACUUUUGAAUUUUAAAAUCUCUCUUUUUACCAUUAAAACCAAAGGAUAUAUUCAGGUAGCUCUACUCAUGUCAAUUCUUGACAAUUUUAUUGUCAUGCAUAAUGAUAUUGAACUGGUUUUUGUCUCGCCUUGACGGAGUCAAAAAGCGAGACAUAGGUAUGCUGUUUCCGGCGUCAGUGGCGCCGUCAACAAUGUAUUAGUUUGUGAUUAGGUCUAGUUUAUGGUGAACCACUAGUGGUAGGUCAAAGAUAUUUGGUAUGCAGUUGAAUUAGCAUUGGCAUAUCUCAUUACCAUGGAGGUUAUUUGUCCCUGCCCCCUCAGUCAUGGUUUAUUGGCUUUGAAACUUUCUUAGUUUUUAUGUAUUAGUUUGUGAUUAGGUCAGUUUAAGGGGAACCACUAGUGGUAGGUCAAUGAUAUUUGGUAUGCAGUUGUAUAAGCAUUGGCAUAUCAAAUUUCCAUGAAGAUUUUUUGGCCCUGCCCCUUCAGUCAUGGUCUAUUGACUUUGAAACUUUUGCUUAGUUUACAAGUUAAUGUUUGUGUUUAGGUUUCUUUAAAGGGAAUGACUUAUGAAAAGUCAAUGGUAUUUGGUAUGCAGUUGUAUUAGCAUUGGCACAUCUCAUUUCCAUGGAGAUUGUUUAGCCCUGUACCUUUAGUCAUGGUUCAUUGACUUUGAAUUUUUGCAUAACUUACAUGUAAAAGUAUUGUUAUUUUAAUUUCAACAUUUGCAUUAUCAAAAUAACAAAUAGGCGAGACAUAUCUCUGUGUUAACAGUUUAUUGGUAUGUAUAGUUUUGUUUUGAGUUCAUAGUUCAGAUUGUAUUCAUUAUUUUUUUUCCCCUGUGGCUAGAUUUAAUUGGUACUUUGAAACUUAAUUGAAAUGGACUUUUAUUUGAAGACCUACUCUUUUAGAUAUAUUAAUAAUAGUCCAUGUCUAGUCAAAACACUUCCAGAAGUUAAGAAUGGAGAAUCUUAAAAUGAAAGAAAAAAUGAAAUGUAUAUUUUGGCUUUCACCUUUGUUAAAUAUAUACCUUUUCGGAAAUCUUUCGUUUUUUUAUGCCCCUGCCAUAGGGAAAGGAGGCAUUAAGUGUUACCCUUGACAUCCUUCUGUCCUUUUGUUGUUCCUUUUGUUCCAUUUUUGUUUCCGCACUAACUUUUAAGAGUAAUGCCCCUUUAUCAGUUGGAAAGUUGCAAAUUUGGGCAGUGAGUCACUUACUUUUCUAGAGUUAUGCUCCAUUUUACAAUUUAAAAAAUUGCCAAUCUUGAGGAAGGGCAUCGUGUCCUCAGACACAUUCUUCUUUUAUUUUUUAGCUGAGUUUGAUAUAGUUUAUUUUUUUAUCAAUUGUUUUGUUCUGAAUAAUUAUACAUUUUUUUAUACUGUCUAAAGUAUACUUCCUGAGACGGUCUUCAGAGCAUUAGGUUUUGGACUCAGGUUUCCAACAUUUUCCCACUACAAAUUCAGUUUUUAAAGAAGUUUUACCAAGUUCACUCGUUUUAGUUGGUCGUCAUGGUUCUUCCUGGCACUAGGAGAUGGUUAAUGAUAGAGAUUUUGUCAUUAUUUGGUAUUUAACUUAAAAUAUAGCAUAGAAGCAUUUCAUCAAUUAUGACUUUUAUGAUUAUCUUUUAUGUAUAUAUGCUUACAAUUUGUAUACA